GCUGCAAAGAUGGCCCUGCCUCCAUGCCUUGUUGAACAUGACGAUGCCCCUGGGAAUGGGAGGUGAUGGUUUUUUACUUCGGCCCUAGUACGGAGUAUGCUCUUGAAGCUGGAUUCCAUCAGCAGGUUUUGGAAAUCACUAGUGGGUAAAAAAGACCAAUUUGCAACUAGGCUGUCAUGCUCUGUUGAAAACUAUGUCACAAUAUCACAAUACUAGAUGUUGGGCUCAAGACAGCAAACAGAAAGCAGCAAGGGCAGUGACUGGAAGCUGGGAGAGAGGGUCAACAGCUGAAUCUCAGCCUGAUAGAGGCCACCAUUUAAUAAGUAAAUACAUGCACAGCUAUUUAGAUCCUGCAUCAGACAGCUUCCUCAGCUUCCUCAGAAAGGUCAUCAGAAAACAUGAAGCUAAAUGCAGUAAAGAAUUACUCUCUUGAACUCUUGAAAAUAUCAUUUUCUUAGAGAAA
rnacentral:antisense_RNA from 1 species